rnacentral:rRNA from 1 species
AUUGAACGCUGGCGGCAUGCUUUACACAUGCAAGUCGAACGGUAACAGGUUAAGCUGACGAGUGGCGAACGGGUGAGUAAUGCAUCGGAACGUGCCCGGUCGUGGGGGAUAACACUUCGAAAGAAGUGCUAAUACCGCAUACGAUCUAAGGAUGAAAGCGGGGGACCGUAAGGCCUCGCGCGAUUGGAGCGGCCGAUGUCAGAUUAGGUAGUUGGUGGGGUAAAGGCUCACCAAGCCGACGAUCUGUAGCUGGUAUGAGAGGACGACCACCCACACUGGGACUGAGACACGGCCCAGACUCCUACGGGAGGCAGGAGUGGGGAAUUUUGGACAAGGGGCGCAAGCCUGAUCCAGCAAUGCCGAGUGCAGGAAGAAGGCCUUCGGGUUGUAAACUGCUUUUGUACGGAGCGAGAAGGCUCUCUCUAAUACAGGGGGCUGAUGACGGUACCGUAAGAAUAAGCACCGGCUAACUACGUGCCAGCCGCCGCAGUAA